AAAAAAGGUUAAAAAGCACCCAACAGAUCGACCAUGGAUCACUACUAAGAUAAAAAAAGGGAUUCAAAAACGCCAAUCAGCUUUUAUCCAGCAAGGGAAAAUGUCAACAGCAUACCGAUAUUGGAGAAACAAAGUCCAACGUUCCAUUCGUGCAGCAAAAUACCAAUAUUAUAGCGUUAAAGUUACUGAUGUACAAAGAGUUAAUUCCACAAAAUGGUGGAGAGAAAUUAAAAAACUCUCUGGGCAAAGUUCAAAACUGGAAUGGCACCAUCAGUUUCUAGAAAAUAGCUCUGACACUAAGUUAC